UGAGGAAUCUUGCGCAAUGGGGGAAACCCUGACGCAGCAACGCCGCGUGAGUGAGGAAGGUCUUCGGGCCGUAAAGCUCUGUCAGGCGGGAAGAAAUGCACGGAGGUGAACAGCCGCCAUGCUUGACGGUACCGCCAGAGGAAGCACCGGCUAACUCCGUGCCAGCAGCCGCGGUAAUACGGGGGGUGCAAGCGUUGUUCGGAAUCAUUGGGCGUAAAGAGCGUGUAGGCGGCUUGGUAAGUCAGAUGUGAAAGCCCUGGGCUCAACCCGGGAAGUGCAUUUGAAACUGCAGGGCUCGAGUAGGGGAGAGGGACGUGGAAUUCCUAGUGUAGAGGUAAAAUUCGUAGAUAUCAGGAGGAACACCGGUGACGAUGGCGACGUCCUGGCCCGAUACUGACGCUUAGACGCGAGAGCGUGGGU
rnacentral:rRNA from 1 species